CGUUGGCUUUCCCGUUUUGAAAGCUGGAGUACGUCACUGUCUGACUGCUGGAAGCCCUCUUCAGAGAGUGAGAAAUGCGAUACUACUCUAACCUGACGUAGAUUCACACAAUUAGUCCAGACCGGUGUUAUUCAUCUUGUUGGAGAUGCCUUGCAGGACCAUGCAUCAAAGUCUUGAGGGGAAAUAUGUACCAUAGUUAAUGCCCCAUGGGGAAUUGUGGAAAACCAGGAGGACGUGAUUGGAAGAGAUGGGGUGGAUGAAAAAAGAUCUCGCUGUGCUAAAAAGAUGGCAGUGAAGUAGAGGGACGUGGAAUGCAUCCCUCUCCACAGAUGCAUUGGGAAUGCACCGAAAGACAAAGUAAUUCCCACAGAGAACCAACUGAACAUCAGCAGAUGACCUCAGACACCUGAAAGGACCACAAGGAUCCUGACAUAACCGGUAGGGAUGCAUCUACGAUGGCGCAAAGAGGGUGAAGCGGCGGAGCUGUGGCAGACGGGAGGGAGUGAGAAACAUACGGAGGGCCUGCACCGCAGCUCAGCAUUCCUGGACUGAGAUGUCAAUACACAGCUGAACAGAGGGUCCAGGAGCAGGAACGUGGGAACCGGAGAGCUGGUUCAGGGUGAGAAACAUUGUUGCCAGUAAGGUGACUGACCGAGAGGACAGGAGGGAAGAGGUCCACGGUGAGGAGUGCCUGCCCCUGAGAGCUGCCCAGCCAUGAUGGCAGCUGGAUGCUGCAGGCUCAUGGGCGGUGGAGAGGAGCCACGGGCAUAGCCUCUCUCUCAUUUGGCUCCUGCAACAGGCAGUGGAGAGACGCCCAUGGGCCACCUAAGGUGCUCAGGGAUAACAAGUACCCUCAGGCACUUGGGUGGGGCUAGAUUAAAACCCCUUGGAACUCCACCAGCAGGGAGACUGCCGAGAAAAAAAAAAAAACCCGAGAGAAGCCCAGCUCUGAGACUUUCUGUUUACACCUGAGCCACCAGCGUCCCUCUGCAACAGGCACCUCCAAACCCGACUGAAACAACAGUGCGCCACUGCUCACUCACUCCCAGGGGAAGGAGCCACUAUUGUACCCUCUCCCUCCUCACACACCGAC